GACGGAGGAUGCAAGUGUUAUCCGGAAUCACUGGGCGUAAAGCGUCUGUAGGUGGUUUAAAAAGUCCACUGUUAAAGAUUGAAGCUUAACUUCAAAAAUGCCGUGGAAGCUUUUAAACUUGAGUAUGAUAGGGGUAGAGGGAAUUUCCAGUGGAGCGGUGAAAUGCGUAGAUAUUGGAAAGACCACCAAUGGCGAAGGCAACUCUACUGGGCCAUUACUGACACUGAGAGACGAAAGCUAGGGGAGCAAAUGGG
rnacentral:rRNA from 1 species